rnacentral:rRNA from 1 species
AACGAACGCUGGCGGCAUGCCUAACACAUGCAAGUCGAACGAGACCUUCGGGUCUAGUGGCGCACGGGUGCGUAACGCGUGGGAACCUGUCCUUAGGUUCGGAAUAACUCCCCGAAAGGGGUGCUAAUACCGGAUAAUGUCUUCGGACUAAAGAUUUAUCGCCUUUGGAUGGGCCCGCGUUGGAUUAGCUAGUUGGUAGGGUAAAAGCCUACCAAGGCGACGAUCCAUAGCUGGUCUGAGAGGAUGAUCAGCCACACUGGGACUGAGACACGGCCCAGACUCCUACGGGAGGCAGCAGUGGGGAAUAUUGGACAGUGGGCGAAAGCCUGAUCCAGCAAUGCCGCGUGAGUGAUGAAGGCCUUAGGGUUGUAAAGCUCUUUUACCCGGGAUGAUAAUGACAGUACCGGGAGAAUAAGCUCCGGCUAACUCCGUG